rnacentral:rRNA from 1 species
AGCGGCGGACGGGUGAGUAAUGCUUGGGAACAUGCCUUGAGGUGGGGGACAACAGUUGGAAACGACUGCUAAUACCGCAUAAUGUCUACGGACCAAAGGGGGCUUCGGCUCUCGCCUUUAGAUUGGCCCAAGUGGGAUUAGCUAGUUGGUGAGGUAAUGGCUCACCAAGGCGACGAUCCCUAGCUGGUUUGAGAGGAUGAUCAGCCACACUGGGACUGAGACACGGCCCAGACUCCUACGGGAGGCAGCAGUGGGGAAUAUUGCACAAUGGGCGCAAGCCUGAUGCAGCCAUGCCGCGUGUGUGAAGAAGGCCUUCGGGUUGUAAAGCACUUUCAGUCAGGAGGAAAGGUUAGUAGUUAAUACCUGCUAGCUGUGACGUUACUGACAGAAGAAGCACCGGCUAACUCCGUG